rnacentral:sRNA from 1 species
GUUGAAAUUUAUUUCAUAACAAUUAAGUAAAGCAAAAGCUCCGAUUUAUUCAAAAUCGGAGCUUUUGCUUU